rnacentral:rRNA from 1 species
AGAGUUUGAUCAUGGCUCAGAUUGAACGCUGGCGGCAUGCCUUACACAUGCAAGUCGAACGGUAACAGGUCUUCGGAUGCUGACGAGUGGCGAACGGGUGAGUAAUACAUCGGAACGUGCCCAGUCGUGGGGGAUAACUACUCGAAAGAGUAGCUAAUACCGCAUACGAUCUGAGGAUGAAAGCGGGGGACCUUCGGGCCUCGCGCGAUUGGAGCGGCCGAUGGCAGAUUAGGUAGUUGGUGGGAUAAAAGCUUACCAAGCCGACGAUCUGUAGCUGGUCUGAGAGGACGACCAGCCACACUGGGACUGAGACACGGCCCAGACUCCUACGGGAGGCAGCAGUGGGGAAUUUUGGACAAUGGGCGAAAGCCUGAUCCAGCAAUGCCGCGUGCAGGAUGAAGGCCUUCGGGUUGUAAACUGCUUUUGUACGGAACGAAAAAGCUUCUCCUAAUACGAGAGGCCCAUGACGGUACCGUAAGAAUAAGCACCGGCUAACUACGUGCCAGCAGCCGCGGUAAUACGUAGGGUGCGAGCGUUAAUCGGAAUUACUGGGCGUAAAGCGUGCGCAGGCGGUUAUGUAAGACAGAUGUGAAAUCCCCGGGCUCAACCUGGGAACUGCAUUUGUGACUGCAUGGCUAGAGUACGGUAGAGGGGGAUGGAAUUCCGCGUGUAGCAGUG